rnacentral:lncRNA from 1 species
UGGCUGCACCUGUGAUUAUCUGACAUGACCCAAGAAGACUCAGUGUAGCAGGUUUGUAGCUUCUCGUUAACGAGGAGUCUGUGUGUCUGUGUGCACUGAGGACGGCUUUCUCCUUCCCUUGUCUCUCCCCGAGGUCCUUGCUGAGUGACUGAGAAGGUGUCUCCCCCCGCCACCACCAUCCUGAGUGAGAGCAGCUAUCAGGUCACCACAAGUUCAUUGAAGUUGAUUUUACCUUGGGUGUGGGGCUUGUUUGGAGUGAUUGUGCAUGGAGCAAAGAAGCCCUCCUGGAGACAUCCGGUCUUCCGCUGUCCUCAUAGCCACAGUGUUAUCAGAGAGGUCAGAAAGUAUCCAAACAAGGAGGCUGUGGGAAGACAAUCUGAUCGGCUUCUGGAGAACAGCCUGGCUCGGUUCCCCAC